AGAGUUUGAUCCUGGCUUAGGAUUAACGCUGGCGGCGUGCCUAAUACAUGCAAGUCGAAUGGUAGUAGCAAUACAAACCAUGGCGAACGGGUGAGUAACACGUAGGUAACCUGUCUUUUAAGACGAGGAUAACCAUUGGAAACGAUGGAUAAUACUGGAUAGGACAUCACAAAGGGCAUCCUUAGAUGUUUAAAGAUUAUUAUGUCACUUAGAGAGGGGCCUGCGGCGCAUUAGCUAGUUGGUGAGGUAAGAGCCCACCAAGGCGAUGAUGCGUAGCCGGACUGAGAGGUUGAACGGCCACAAUGGAACUGAGAACGGUCCAUACUCCUACGGGAGGCAGCAGUAGGGAAUUUUCGGCAAUGGGCGCAAGCCUGAACCCGAGCAACGCCGCGUGAACGAAGAAGUUAUUCGUAAUGUAAAGUUCUUUUAUCUGGGAAGAAAAACAAAUUGACGGUACCAGAUGAAUAAGCUCCGGCUAACUACGUGCCAGCAGCCGC
rnacentral:rRNA from 1 species